rnacentral:rRNA from 1 species
CGCCGCGCCCUCUCCAACUCACCACGGCCACGCUCCUCCGCCGCGGCCACCGCAGUCGCGUCCUCCUCGGCCGUGAACUCCAUCCUCCUCCGCUCCCUCAAGGAGCACUACCUCGAGGUCUCCAAAAUGACGCCCCCGCCCAAGAUCAGCCCGCCCAAGCCCUACACCAUCGUCAAGGGCGCCCUGGACCAGACCUCGGGUCCCGUGCUCCGCCGCAGCUACGGCGAGGCCGGCGAGGAGAUCUCCAUCUCCGUCGCCAGGCUCUCCAACAUCAUGCCCCCCGGUGCCGACUCUGAUUCCGACGGCUCCGACGGCGCAGGCGGGGUGAGCGGGUCAAUCAGCCAGCUCUUCCUCCACGUCGACAUCUCCAGGCCGGAGAGCAGCAAGUCGCUGCAGUUCCUGUGUGGAUUGUACCCCGACGCCGUGGGGAUCCAUUCCGUUUGCCUUCGGUCGAAGACGGCCGCGUCUGGGGCGGUGGCGGUGGCCGCGGCGACGAAGGGCGGUGGCGAGUACCAGGGACGCAUCUUCCAAGAGUUGGAUGAGAAGGUGCGCGAUGCAUUCCAUUUUUACAUUGAGGCUCGUGGCAUAAAUGAGAAGCUCUUCCCAUUUCUACAAGCCUGGCUUUACGUGAAGGAUCACCGCAACCUGAUACGCUGGUUUAAGAGUGUGGGUGCAGUCAUCAGCGAGCCGAAGCCCGAGUAA